rnacentral:lncRNA from 1 species
UAAUAUUUUGCAAACCAAGUAGAAAAAAGUUCAUUUUCAAAGGACUUUGACUAAGGGAUGAAUAUCUCAGAUUCUCUCACACAUAGUUUAUAUCUUAAUAGAUUUGAUUAUUCAUUGAAUUUUCCUUUUUUUAAAUUACGAAGAUUUUUUUGACUAUGUGGAGAAUAGGCAGAAAAAAGCUCUUCAUUACCUAUGGAAUCCUGCUUUUUGUGAAAUUGUAAAGGUUAAUUUUGGAAGAAAGUCAUACUUAAUAUUGAACCAAUUACAUAGCUACGACUCAAAGUAAAAAUUUUGCUUAAGGUAAUGUCUCUUGUGUUUAGUCAGCUCAGUAAUAGAACUCAUACCUUUUGGUCAGUGAGUCUAUGAUAUUUGUUAUGCUUCCAUCCGCACUGGUACACUAGUUUGUAAGAUAUUCAGAAAACUUAUCCUUCCAGAGGGAUAGGCAGGAAAAAGCAAACAUUUAAUUGCUCAAGAGUAUAAUUCAGUCAUGCUUUCAACAAACAAGUUAGGAUUUUCAAUAAAAGCCAUAGUCAGAGGGUUUGAUACACUGUUUACUUAUAAUUCAAAAAACACCUCAAAUAUAGGCUAUAUUUCAUGGUUCAGUUGAGUUCAGGAAAAGCAAACAUUUGUAUGAGAAAACAACUGGAGUCAAAGAAGCUGGUAGAUAAUUCUGAAGAGAUGGAAAUCAGUAUCUCCCCCACAUGCAAAUAUGUUUGCAAUUCAUCUAUACUAUAUAAUUAUGCUAUAGAAAUAUCGAUCACGCAAAGUAAUUCUAAACAAAUAAAGUGAUCAUGGGGGGCAUUCAUCAUUUAUUUAUGAAUCUAGACAAGACCUUGUUGAAGUAAGGAUAUAUUUAAGCAUUCCAGACACAUUUCUAGAAUAUUGGAGUUUGCGAAAAACCUAGAAAACAUUAUGUACUGAGUUGGUUAAAUUUGAUAUGACAUACCAAGUAAUUGGGUUUGUUUCUUUUGAUUCAAGGAAGACUUUCUGAGACUAAUCUGAAGAAAAUCUGAGCUUUUCACUGAAUGCCAUUAAAUUAUAUAACACCGAAAUAUAGAUUGAAAAAUAUAUGUUAUAUAUAUUUUUGUCUCUUGAACCUAAUGAAUGAAGAACCCAGUUUUUAGUCUAGUUAUUCUUGUACUUUGUUAUGGAAAUUUUUUAAAAUUCUCAUCUUUCUCUGUAUAUACAUGGUACUCUUGCUUCUUGGUCAGAAAAUGAAAAUUUAACCUCCAUGUCCUUCUUUUUAAAUCAAAUUUAGUUGUGUUUUCUUUUGAAAAUGGAACUAUAAUGAGCACAAAAUAUUUUUCUUCUAUCAUAUAUCAACAUGAGGGCUGAUAUUUGGCCUACAGCUAAAAAAUAGUAAGUUGUAAUAAUUUGCUGUAGUGGCUAUAGCCUUGUAGGUGCUUCUUGAUGGAUGUCCACUCUAGAUGUAAAGAUCCUCCAUGGGUACCACACCUGGGGUCUCCACUGUACAACUUUAUGAAUAUAGUCUUCCUUAGUCUGGAUUUCACCAUGCCCUUCACCAUCUAUAUUACCCAGCUCUCAUAUCUCAGUCUGCCAAACCUGACCUGAUGCCCUUGCAGACAGAAUUAAAAACCAUUUUCUCUUUUGAGUACAUGUUACAUACUUCUACUGUGGCAUGUAUCACACUGUAAUUUUUAUAUGAUCAGUUUCAUAGUAUGCUCUCAGUUCAUUAAUGAGAUGGAACCUUGUCUUUUAUCAUUAGCAAACUCCUUUGAAACUAAUUAGCAGGCAACAAUGUUGACCUAUUUAAUAAUAUUCUGCUUCUCAUUUUUCUGCACAGGAAGUAGUAUGAAAUAACUUACUAGGGUUAGGAGAACUCAGAAAUUCAAAUAAAAUAGAGUUCUAAACUGUAGACUAAAUAUAAAAACAAAAAUGUGAUUAUAUCCACAGACAACUGUAUAUUCAUUAAUCAUAUCACUAAAUUAGUGAAAAAAAACCAAACCAACCAAACAAAAAAUACUACCAUAUAAGUUGUUUCAUCUUCUAAUUUUCCAUUUAAAAUCCCUUCUUGUUCUUAACCAUUUUCUGACUUGUUCUUCAUUUUAAGUUUGUGAACAUUUCUCUAGAAACAGGUUCACUUUUCUAUGUAUCUCCUUUUUGUUUUAAAAAGAAAAGCAAUGUAUGUGCCUGUGUGCCUGUGUGUGCAUGUGUGUGUACAUGCACCUGCAUAGGCAUGUGUACUUCAUCAGAAAGGAAAAGCAUGACUUCCUUGAUCCAUCAGAGCUCCUGCAGGGUCCCUGACAGAAGCUACUUGACACAUGUCUCACCGGAGUGAAAGGGCAGAAAAGUGGUGCACAAGUCCAGGUGCAGGUCUCCCUUCCAAAGAUUCUGCUCCACAUUAGAGUAUUCUAGAGCUCCUGCUGCCUUUAUGCUUUUUUGCUCCUGUCUAAUGCUUGCUGGGUAAAGGCCUGAGGUUUGGAUGGGUGGGAGAGGAGGAAAAUUUACUUUUGAACUUAUGAACUGUGCAUAUGAGGAACUUAAGCAUGGCAGCUCUUCAGUUGGUAUUACACAUAUGGACAAAAUAAUAAUCAUUUAUCAUCCCACUGUCCAAAAACUGAAUACCUUUUAAUGGGGGUGGUCAUAAUUAAAGGAAAUAUUAAGUUAAUUAGAUAAGCCCUGAGGUAAGGUUUUAGGAGAACCUGACUGUGGCUCCCUGCAUGGCUUUACCCUGACCAAUUAUAGUUCAAAUGACUGUUGCUGAGAGAACUUCCAGGUAUAUUCUUGGUGAAUGGGACUUACUUCCUCCCUCCCUUCCUCUCUUCCUGGCCUGUCUGCCCACCUUCCCUCCUCACUCCUUUCCUCCUUCUUUGCUCACCAUCUCUACUGGGCCUUAACAAUUAUAUUAAGAAUGCUGUUUGGAGCCAGGCCCAAUGACACGCUCCUGUAAUCCUUGCAACUCAGGAGGAUGGGGGGAGGAGGAUUGCAAGUUGGAGGUCAACCUCAGCAAUUUAGUGAGACCCUGUCUCAAAUUAAAAAA